rnacentral:lncRNA from 1 species
AAUAAUCUCCACCCCCUGCCGAGGCUUCAACAUUAUAUCUAUCCCUCCUUGCUCUAGCGGGCAGCAGGAAGCACAGCACCGCCAGCUACCACGCAGACAUCCUGGGGAACUGAGCCUGCCUCCGGGUUCCUGCCUUGAGGUCCUGUCCAGGCUUCUCCCCAUGAUGAACUCCGAUGGGGAUACAUAAGCUGAAAUAAAUCUUCCGCUCUGCUGCUUUUGGUCAGUAUUUUUAUCACAGCGGGAGAAAGGAAACUUGGACAGAUAUUCAUCAGCUGUACAAAGAGAAAAGGCAUCAACUGCUGGAAGCUGUGCUCCUUGGGUCAUGGGCACUACUUCCCACAACAUCCACUGGCUUUGCAUGGAGACUCUGGACCUUCAGAGCGGUGCCCGGUUUUGCCACAUGGAUACAGUGCUUGUGAUUAAAACUAAGUAGUAGGCCUGGAUCUGUCGCUUUCCCCCUUGCUGUGAGGAAAUCCCUGAGAAAGAUAACUUAAGGAAGGAGGGGUUUGCACUAGCAGCUGGAGUGAGAGGCGGCCGGCCACAGGACGUGGCGCCUGCAAUCAGGAAGCAGAGAGAGAGGUCUAAAACCCCCAGCCCACAGAGUGCACCUUCUGCCUUAGGAUGAGUCUUCCUGCCUCAGUUUACCGAGUUUAGAAACUCCCUUACAGAUAUGCCCAGAGAUAUGUCUCCAUGGUGAUUCUAGACCCCGACAAGUUGACAGUAUUAACCACCACAGGGGUUAACUGCUAGAGACCCUGAGAGCACACACUUGAUCUGCUUUGUAAAUACACCAUUAGGUUGCCUGAAAUAAUGUAGUCAGAGGUCAACCCUGGAUACCAUUAAAGUUGUUCUCCUUUU